GAGGUAAUCUUGCUUAGAUUGAAGCCUGCCGGGGUUGCUCGUCGCCCAGCAUCUCCUCCGUCUAGAUUUGCCGCAAACAACCUCAUCCAGGGCCGAGCCAUGGGCACCAGUCCUUGACGAAGUUUGCAUCGUGAGCUCGACUACAGAGUGACAUGCACCUAGGUAAUGUUAUACUGCUUGUAGACACCAAAGAAGCAAAAUCUGAGCUGUAGUGGAACUUAUAAAUAUGACCAGUCAUGACGCCGGUAUGGGAAACUAAACAGUUCAUUGUUGAAUUGAAGUAUCAAUCCUCAUCCGCUUUGUAUAGCCAAUAAUUAAAGAUUGAGAUGUUAAAAGAACUUUCAAAGUUGCCUAAUAUCUAUGAUAGAUUAGCAAGAUUAUUGAUUAAGAACAUGUGGGAAUUGGACGGUGUUAAGAGGGGCCUGCCUUGCCAGGUAUUUUCAAGCAAUAUAUUUAUCUUUCCCCUCACAGGAUCAUCUCAUAAGCUAAUAGAUUAACAUCAUUUACUGCUUAUAGAUUUUUGGUGGCAAUGCUUUGAGGCUUCCUUCUAGAGCUAACUUCAGAGAUGACAUCAACGUUUUUCUUGUUGGUGAUCCGGGAAUGAGUAAAUCCCAGCUUCUCUAAUCUCCAGUACAUGCAUAGACUGUAUCCUCGUGGUAUUUACACAAGCAGAAGAGGCAGUUCAGUUGGCCUCGCUACUUAUGUUGUGAAGGAUUCUGAAACUGGUGAAACUGUAAGUUUACAGUAAUUCCCUUCAUCUUCACAGUAAAAUGUCUUGUAACAUACAUCUUUUGUAACCAGCAUGGUAAAUAUUAGGAUCUUGAGAGUGGAGCGCUUGUUCUGAGUGACAAAGUUGUUUGUUUUGUUGAUGGGUUCGACAAUAUGUCUGAUAAUACUCGAAGCAUGCUACAUAAGAUCUGAUCUCAUUGAAUUGUUCCCCUCCAAAUUUGAAUCCAAUAAUAUGAUUACUCAAACAUCUUUACUGAUUAUACGGAUGAUGGAGCAGUAGACUGUAUCCAUUGAAAAGAGCUAGAAUAAUUGUAUAUCUUUAAAUGCUAGAACAUCUGUCUUAGCACGUGCAAAUCCAUUUGAAUCACGUUACAAUGGGCUUUCUGUGAUUGACAAUAUCCACCUUCCCUAAUACUGAUGUCAAGGUAAGUGCAUGCCUUCAUGUGUGUAAAGUGGGCAACAGUUAUAAGUAAGUAUUCUAAUUGCGGUCACAUUUUCUAUUAUGCAGGCAUGGCCUGAUUUAUCUUAUGUUGGACAAGGCAGAUGAGCAAACAGAUAGAUGCUUGGCUCAGCAUAUUGCUUCAUUGCGUUUUGAUAAUCGAGAAGUAAAAUACCCUCUCAGAUUUUGUACCUGAAACUUUAACCAAACUCCUUUGUUUGAAGAAAGUGGUAACAGUGCAAGAAUAUAAUAAAGUAUAUAUGUAACGGAUUCCUAGAUGAGCCAAUUUCGUAUUAGUUGUAUAUUCAUGAUGAUAUGAAGGUAGUGGAGCACCACAUAUGAUGUUGGACAUGCCCAUGCUGAUUUCAUACAUAAGCUAUGCAAGGAAGUACACUCAGCCACAGUUAUGUGACGAAGUAUUUAUUGCCGUACUUCAGAGUUAAUAUUUCGGGCAACCGAGUGGAAACCGUCAGAUUUUACAUUCUCAGUUGGUCAUGUUUUUUUUGCUUAGUUGCUUCUAGAGCGGUCAGAUUUCUUUUGCCACACCAGCAAUUGGAUCUAAACACUACUUUUGUGUUUGCUACCCUUGUGAUGCCCCCCUCGAUAAAUUUCAGCAUUGAGAUUAGCUAUCUUUGAAGUCCCUUUUUUCGUUUCAGUGCAUCAUGAGCAUAGUGAAAGAAGAAGUUUUUUCUUUGCUCGUCGGCAUACAACUGCUUAGUGAUCUUCGGCAUCCGAACUGGUUCUUUUCGGGCAUAGCUUUCCUUUAUUUAUCAAAGCAUUUUACAUACUAGAACUGAUCUUGUUUAUUAUCUGUUGCGGUGUUCAUUGCCAGUUUUGCGUAAGUUUCCUUUGUCUUGACAAAUGUUUGUUUCACACCCUUAAAUUGAAUUUCCUUCAUAGCUUCAGUUAAUAUAUCUCUGGUGUUGCCUGUGUUUUUUUGUUUUCUGAUAGAUAUGCAAAUGCUUUAUUGCUAGCCUGAAUUUAAGUUCAGAGGAUCUUCUCUUUUGGGGGUUUCCAACCUGCUUGCUAGGCUAGAAGCCUGUUUGUUCUACUCAUUAAAUGAUUUUCAGGAUGCAUGGAUUUUCGGUAAACUGCAUCGUAUAGUUCAUUCUUGGUUCCAUCUUCACAAGACAAUGUGGGAGUUGUUUUAUUUUAGUUCUUAGAUUUUUAGUUGAUUUACCUUGGAAUUGGGAACAAAUAUGCCUUGUGUAUGCUCAUCAUGUAUUCUAUCUUCUUUUUUAUUUCCUUGCUACUUAUGAAAUAAUUCAAUGUUCGAUGUAUCUUUCAUGUACGAGCGUUACCUUAUUUAACUAAUAUUUUCAUGCGAACUAGCUCUCCAAGUAUCAAGCUCUGCUUAGGAUUUAUGGUUGCGUCUGUAUGAAAUUGUUUUACAAGUUGCCGUCAGAAAUGAAGAUGGCUCUUCCAGUUACAGUGGAGAUUAGUACUGAUUUUUUCUUGCAAAGUUUUGUAUCCAAAUUCAUGAAAAGUUUUGUUGUUUCUAUAUAGGAGAGAGCUGUCUGACAUGUUCAUUGUUCUGCUAAAGGUUCAAAACAUUGCUUUGAUAGUAUUCAUCAGCGUAGUCUGAAAACAAAUUGCCUUUGAACGUUCGCUGCCCCAAUCUCUAAUUGAUGUUAACGUUCAUUCAAAAAAAAAAAAUAA